CGUAGGUGGCAAGCGUUGUCCGGAAUUAUUGGGCGUAAAGCGCGCGCAGGCGGUUCCUUAAGUCUGAUGUGAAAGUCCCCGGCUCAACCGGGGAGGGUCAUUGGAAACUGGGGAACUUGAGUGCAGAAGAGAAGAGCGGAAUUCCACGUGUAGCGGUGAAAUGCGUAGAGAUGUGGAGGAACACCAGUGGCGAAGGCGGCUCUUUGGUCUGUAACUGACGCUGAGGCGCGAAAGCGUGGGGAGCAAACAGGAUUAGAUACCCUGGUAGUCCACGCCGUAAACGAUGAGUGCUAAGUGUUAGAGGGUUUCCGCCCUUUAGUGCUGCAGCUAACGCAUUAAGCACUCCGCCUGGGGAGUACGGCCGCAAGGCUG
rnacentral:rRNA from 1 species